rnacentral:rRNA from 1 species
GGGAGCUUGCACAGGUGCUGCAUGGCUGUCGUCAGCUCGUGUCGUGAGAUGUUCGGUUAAGUCCGCUAACGAGCGCAACCCUCGCUGUGUGUUAUAUGUGUCACACGGGACUGCCGGUCUUAAGCCGGAGGAAGGUGGGGAUGAUGUCAAGUCAGCAUGGCCUUUAUAUCCUGGGCUACACACACGCUACAAUGGCCAACACAAUAGGUUGCUAAGCCGCGAGGUGGCGCCAAUCCAUAAAGUUGGUCUCAGUUCAGAUUGUAGGCUGCAACCCGCCUGCAUGAAGAUGGAGUUGCUAGUAACCGCAGGUCAGCUAUACUGCGGUGAAUACGUUCCCGGGGCUU